GAUGAACGCUGGCGGCGUGCCUAAUACAUGCAAGUCGAGCGAACAGACGAGGAGCUUGCUCCUCUGACGUUAGCGGCGGACGGGCGAGUAACACGUGGAUAACCUACCUAUAAGACUGGGAUAACUUCGGGAAACCGGAGCUAAUACCGGAUAAUAUAUUGAACCGCAUGGUUCAAUAGUGAAAGACGGUUUUGCUGUCACUUAUAGAUGGAUCCGCGCCGCAUUAGCUAGUUGGUAAGGUAACGGCUUACCAAGGCAACGAUGCGUAGCCGACCUGAGAGGGUGAUCGGCCACACUGGAACUGAAACACGGUCCAGACUCCUACGGGAGGCAGCAGGAGGGAAUCUUCCGCAAUGGGCGAAAGCCUGACGGAGCAACGCCGCGUGAGUGAUGAAGGUCUUCGGAUCGUAAAACUCUGUUAUUAGGGAAGAACAAAUGUGUAAGUAACUAUGCACGUCUUGACGGUACCUAAUCAGAAAGCCACGGCUAACUACGUG
rnacentral:rRNA from 1 species